rnacentral:rRNA from 1 species
GAUGAACGCUGGCGGCGUGCCUAACACAUGCAAGUCGAGCGAUUUACUUCGGUAAAGAGCGGCGGACGGGUGAGUAACGCGUGGGUAACCUGCCCUGUACACACGGAUAACAUACCGAAAGGUAUGCUAAUACGAGAUAAUAUACUUUUAUCGCAUGGUAGAAGUAUCAAAGCUUUUGCGGUACAGGAUGGAACCGCGUCUGAUUAGCUAGUUGGUAAGGUAACGGCUUACCAAGGCGACGAUCAGUAGCCGACCUGAGAGGGUGAUCGGCCACAUUGGAACUGAGACACGGUCCAAACUCCUACGGGAGGCAGCAGUGGGGAAUAUUGCACAAUGGGCGAAAGCCUGAUGCAGCAACGCCGCGUGAGUGAUGAAGGCCUUCGGGUCGUAAAGCUCUGUCCUCAAGGAAGAUAAUGACGGUACUUGAGGAGGAAGCCCCGGCUAACUACGUGCCAGCAGCCGCAGUAA